rnacentral:lncRNA from 1 species
ACAUCGGGAACUCGGUGUAUACAUGUAUGUUGUGCAAUCCUUUCUUCAAGGAUAGUGCUGUGUCUUCUUUGGCAUCUUGCUUCCUUUUUUUGGAGCGUCAUACGAGAAAAUAGACCUCCAUUAGGAUAGAGAAACGUUGAUCAAGAGAGAGGAUAGAUUGUCAAUAUCCGUAAGCACAAACGUCUCCUACCUUGUCUCUGGUC